UACGGGGGGGGCAAGCGUUGUUCGGAUUUACUGGGCGUAAAGGGCUCGUAGGCGGCCAACUAAGUCAGACGUGAAAUCCCCAGGCUUAACCUGGGAACUGCGUCUGAUACUGGAUGGCUUGAAUUCGGGAGAGGGAUGCAGAAUUCCAGGUGUAGCGGUGAAAUGCGUAGAUAUCUGGAGGAAUACCGGUGGCGAAGGCGGCAUCCUGGACCGACAUUGACGCUGAGGAGCGAAAGCUAGGGGAGCAAACGGG
rnacentral:rRNA from 1 species